AGAGUUUGAUCCUGGCUCAGGAUGAACGCUGGCGGCGUGCUUAACACAUGCAAGUCGAACGAUCCUUCGGGAUAGUGGCGGACGGGUGAGUAACGCGUGGGAAUCUGCCCUCAGGAGGGGGAUAACGGCUGGAAACGGCCGCUAAUACCCCAUAUGCCGAGAGGUGAAAUGAAUUUCGCCUGAGGAUGAGCCCGCGUCUGAUUAGCUAGUCGGUGGGGUAAAGGCCUACCAAGGCAACGAUCAGUAGCUGGUCUGAGAGGAUGAUCAGCCACACUGGGACUGAGACACGGCCCAGACUCCUACGGAAGGCAGCAGUGGGGAAUUUUCCGCAAUGGGCGAAAGCCUGACGGAGCAACGCCGCGUGAGGGAUGAAGGCCUCUGGGCUGUAAACCUCUUUUCUCAAGGAAGAAGACCUGACGGUACUUGAGGAAUAAGCCACGGCUAAUUCCGUGCCAGCAGCCGCGGUAAUACGGGAGUGGCAAGCGUUAUCCGGAAUUAUUGGGCGUAAAGCGUCCGCAGGCGGCCUUGUAAGUCUGUUGUUAAAGCGUGGAGCUCAACUCCAUUUAAGCAAUGGAAACUACAAGGCUGGAGUGUGGUAGGGGCAGAGGGAAUUCCCGGUGUAGCGGUGAAAUGCGUAGAUAUCGGGAAGAACACCAGUGGCGAAGGCGCUCUGCUGGGCCAUAACUGACGCUCAUGGACGAAAGCCAGGGGAGCGAAAGGGAUUAGAUACCCCUGUAGUCCUGGCCGUAAACGAUGAACACUAGGUGUCGGGGGAAUCGACCCCCUCGGUGUCGUAGCCAACGCGUUAAGUGUUCCGCCUGGGGAGUACGCACGCAAGUGUGAAACUCAAAGGAAUUGACGGGGGCCCGCACAAGCGGUGGAGUAUGUGGUUUAAUUCGAUGCAACGCGAAGAACCUUACCUGGGUUUGACAUCCUGCGAACCCCUGAGAAAUCGGGGGGUGCCUUCGGGAGCGCAGAGACAGGUGGUGCAUGGCUGUCGUCAGCUCGUGUCGUGAGAUGUUGGGUUAAGUCCCGCAACGAGCGCAACCCACGUCUUUAGUUGCCAGCAUUCAGUUGGGCACUCUAGAGAGACCGCCGGUGAUAAACCGGAGGAAGGUGUGGAUGACGUCAUGUCAUCAUGCCCCUUACAUCCUGGGCUACACACGUACUACAAUGCUACGGACAAAGGGCAGCAAGCUCGCGAGAGUUAGCAAAUCCCAUAAACCGUGGCUCAGUUCAGAUCGUAGGCUGCAACUCGCCUACGUGAAGGAGGAAUCGCUAGUAAUCGCAGGUCAGCAUACUGCGGUGAAUACGUUCCCGGGCCUUGUACACG
rnacentral:rRNA from 1 species